UAGUUUUCCUCCACAGCUUCUCCUACCGUGGACGCGUCGCCAGGCCGAGACCCCACAGCGGCCGCCUCAGGUAAUCCACCCCCGUGAGUUCCUCUGCUCUGCAUCCAUUCAGUUUUUGUUCGCUGGUGCCGUAGUUGGUGCGAGGAGUAGGGUUUGGUCAGGCCGUGUGGUAGGGGUACACGCGGGCAGGCAACCACGGUGGGGAAUUUGGCCGGCGACCGACCUCUCUCAGAUGCCAAUGCUCCCGGUGAUGUUAAUUUGGCCCAAAAUCAACCCGGAACAUGUAUGAAUAGAAGUUAUCUGCACGCACAACACACCCAAAGAUGCUAGUAUAAAUUAGCCAUGGCUCCCGGUGAUACGGGGUCAGGGGCAAACAUGUUAUUGUUCCUCUUCAGUGUCAGAAUAAAGGCCAUGAUAGCUGAUUCGAAUUAUGGAAAUUCUUCAUUACAGCGACAGAAUAGUGAAUAAAUUCGCUAGACUUGUGUGGUUCCCCAUGGUUUAGAACAGAGAGAUGGCUACCUUGUUCACGAAUUAUAAGUCACAGCUUCAAAAUUUCACCAUUCACCUCUUCGAACAUGCAUACAGUCACUCAUUCGUUCGUUUAGUCAUUUAAAUCUUUUAGUAUGCAUCAAGUUGUAAACCGGUCAGAAAGUCAUCAUCUCAGCCUCGCAAACACAGACCAAGAUUUGCUUCUGCUGCCACAGUGCCACGCACUAGGAUUGAGGAUGCAAGUAGCGAACUAUGCCACAUCGGAGGAACUAUGCUAGUCAAGUAGAUGAGCCAGCCUAGGAUGUAGGGAGUGACAGAAGGCCACGUUUACUGGAGUUCUACAAUUACACUUACUCAUACAAGUUCUCUGAAAGCAUUCUCAUGCUUUUUCCAUACCCAUUGAUAGUUUGCGCAUUUGCAAACAAAUUACGGCUCAAUAUACCUUUGCUUACUGAUAAAAAUCUUCGAAGGUUUCUCUGCCCAAUAUAUCACUGACAUGAUAAAGAAUUCAGUACAUUGAUCUCUGUUACAAUUUUUUUGGUACAAUGUUGCUAUACUUGAAACAUAUAUGUAUAUAUAUGGUCAUUCAAAAUAAUUAGUUCUCAUAACACAAACAGAAGAUGACACCAACAAAUUAUGGUAUGACAGGUUUCUCUGUCUAAUUUCACCUGGGGGCAGAGAGCAAUGAUGCAUUUCGCAGGGUGGAGAGAUUGGGUUGACAAACUGGCACAACGAUCGCAGGGCUUAGAUCGAAGAAAUUGUAGUUCAAGUCUGAUUCCACAUUUCUUUCUCCUUCCAUGACCUUCACACCUUCACCACCACUGACAUGGAAGGCCUUCUGUUGCUGUCACUCUGCAAGCACCACAUUGCAAGCCUCAUGAUCUCAAUCACUUCCUCCUUGUUGCAUGAGCGCAUAUCUUGGCUGUUCUGGUCGAUCAUAUCUUCCAGUUGAGAAUUCAUUGCCUUCUCUCGUAGUACCAUAAUGAGCUGAGCACCCUCAUCGGGCUGAGAGUAGUCGAUGUUCUUUCUUCCACUUAAGAUUUCAAUGACCACAAUACCAAAACUGUAGACAUCCACCUUCUCAGUGAUUUUUGAUGUCAGCCAUUCUGGUGCCAUGUAUCCAGGUGUUCCUCUCAUUCGUGUCACCACACGACUCUCAUCCCUAUCUAUCAGUUUGGAUAACCCAAAGUCUGCAACUUUGGCAUUGAACUUAUCAUCUAAGAGGAUAUUCUGUGGUUUAAUAUCUAGAUGAGCAAUUCGCUGCCUGCACCCUUCGUGAAGGUAGUGUAAGCCCCUGGCAAUAUCAGUGAUGAUCCUACGCCUUAUGCACCAACCAAGAGGGGCAUUGUUACCCGAUUUAUUGGAAUAGAUCCACUUGUCCAGUGAUCCUCCAGACAUGUACUCAAAAACCAAGAGCCUGUUUCUUUUAUCCGCACAGAACCCAAUCAUUUUAACCAGAUUGAUGUGAUGGAUGCUGCCAAUUGUCUGAACUUCUGCAGAGAAUUCUUUCUGUCUGUGAGCAUGUCUGUCCAAAAGCUUUACUGCAACCCUCUCAUCGCCAAGCUGUCCAUCAUAAACUGACCCAGAUCCCCCUUCCCCUAGCUUUCUGCUGAAGUCAUCUGUUGCUCCUCUCAGCAAGUCAAAAGUGAACCUUGUUGGCAUUCCUGGCACUUCACAAAACUCUUCUUCAUCAUCAUCUUUCCUUUGAUUACGUAUCCAUCUAACGACAACAAUGACAAUACUAGAAAAUACGACUGCGGCAGCACUAGCACCAGCUAUUUUGUAAGUUACAGCCCCUUUUCUUUUCUUCGCAGAAGCAGAUGAAUUUUGAGGAGGCAAUGAAUGGUUGGUGUACACUUUCAGGUACGCUGUUGAGUCUGUCUCGUAUCCCUGCAUUGAGAGGACCUCAGAGACCAAUAAACAAGAUUCGCUGGGACCAUUUAGGGAACUGUGAAAUGCAGCCUUGCAAGAGCAAUUUCUCGAGCAGGCUUGCUUGCAGCUCUCUUCAUCACUUAUUAUCACAGCAUCGGGGUCACUGAAGCUGAAGUAGGAAACAUCAGAGAGAGCUACGAGCUGGUGAUCUUGCUCAGCUGGAACAGAGUGACAAGAAGAAAUUGGGCGCACUGGAAUGCAGCCAAGGCCAGGAUUCCAGAUGUCAGCCUGCUUGAAGUAUAAGGUAUCACCGGCCCCAAUCGGGCAGAUGCACUGCCCAUUCCUGCAGAUCCCAUACUCUCCACAGACAGUUGGGUACAUGCAGUAAUCUAGUUCGAAGAUGUCCUGCACGAAUGACCACUGCGAGUACCUUUGAUUCCACUCAUACAGCCUGAGAUGUCCGUCAGACUCGAACCUCAUGUACUGGAGUGAGCGCGCAUGAGGCAGGUCGAUCCCAGCGUUAUUGAUUGAGUCUGUAGGCAGGGAGGAGGUGGCAAAGACGGACAUGCUCCCAUUGAGGAGCGCGAUGUAUGUGUGUUCAUCGUAGGUGAAAUGUCCUGCUUGGUUGUAUUCGUAGUAGAUCUGGUGCUGUAUUGACCCUACAGACGCGUGCAGACCAUAUUGAUGGACGGCUAGAUAGAACUGAUUGCUGGCAGCAAAGCUGACGUUGUCGAUGCUGGGCGUCAGCUUCAUCCCUUCCAUUAAUGGCUGCCGGGGAAGCAUAGUGUCAGUUGGGUGAUCGAAGGACUGCCAGACUGGCAAGUUCUUGUGGUUGAAGAGAACCAGAUUGCCGGACUCUGUGAUUUUCAUUCCGAUGAUGGAUUGGCCGGAGGUGUUGGUUGACCAGACGAGACUGCCAUCAGAAUCCCGAAGAACCAAAUCCCCGUCGGCGGUGAAGUUGAGGGUGGAUCCGCGCUGGACUGGGCGGUCACGGUUGGCGGACCAAACAACCACAACAUUAUCGCGGUUCCAGGAGCCAGGUGCAAAGACACAUAUUGCAAAGAAGUACUUGUGGUAGUGGGAGUAGAUCGUUGCAGCAAAGGAUAGGUUAUAACCUCCUGGGACGGAACGGAAGAGCACAUACGAAUCUGUGCUCCAGACAGUGGACAAUUUGGCGGUCGUGUUGGAGGCUUGAGAUGAUGAACAUGCAGCGAGGAUUAGGAGCAAGAGCAGCGGUGCGAAAUAGCUCCUGGAGCAUGGAAGGAAGGAGCCCAUAUUCGUGCAGCGACAAAGGGCAAGCAAGUGAUAACAAACAAAGCAGGGAGCUGGUCUGAGUAGCAGCAGCUGCUGAUCAGCGAGGCAAGGAGGAGGGCUUUGGGUAUGGCCAAGAGACAACUCUCAACUGCUCUUCUUGUACUCUUCUUAAGUUGACCGGCAGAGCUGUGCUGUCUUUUUUAUGUUUUAUGCUUUCAGUCAUCUAAUAGAACAUAUUUGUGUAUGCGUGCAUACUCUCAGAGUCCCAAUCUCUGCCAAACAACUGCACUACGUACGUCCUUGAAAGGGUAAGAUAUGCACCUUUGGUGGAUAUGCACCUGUCUUUUUUAUGUUGAGAUGUAUUUGUUCGGGCCAUAAGCCCAUAAUGCUCUCAAUUCUCAUGAUGAUGACAGAGACACACACUUUGACUCCCGUGACUUCUCCACUUAAUCGAUGCCACGUCGUUGACAUUGACCCUGUUAAAUACCACUACUAUUUAUUAAGCGUAACCCCUGAUGUGCAAUACCCCUUACUAUUUUUCUGUUUUACCCUUUCAGUCAUCUAAAUAGAACAGAUUUGUGUACACGUGCAUACUCUCAGAGUCCCAAUCUCCGCCAAACAACCGCACUACAUACGUCCUGGAAAGGGUAAGAUCAGAAUCAUGCCUACAUGACCUGCGAUCUAUGAUUUUUGAAGUUUCCACGGUCUUACGGCACCAGCAUGCUUUAGAUUGCUAUAAGGCUGGAUUUCCCCAUAGUGUCAAUUAUUUUUCAAAAGCUGGUCUUUUACCUUCGGUCGAUAUGCACCUGUCUUGUUGAUAUUGAGAUGUAUUUGUUCGGACUAUUGUGCUCUCAAUCCUCUUACGAUGAUGCUAGAGACACACACUUUGACACCUAGUGACUUCUCCACUGAAUCAAUGUCACAUUGUUGACAUUGACCCUGUUAGAUAUUUAUUAAGUGUAACUCCUGAUGUGUAAUAGCUCUAGAUCUGAAUAGACAUGGUGGGGUAUGACAAUAGCUUUGCACUGACCUUUUUUUGGACAGGUCAUGUUCAAACCUUUUUUUGUCCUUUGAACAGGUCUUGUUCAAACCUUGUGCAAAAUCAAGGCAGAAAAGCGUCCCAACAAAGUGUGGCAAAAGGGCAGGAUCCGGAGAGGUGAUCCCCGGUUUCUGUGCAAUUUAAGGUUGCACAUGACGGGAAGAGUAAUUUGCUAAGGCCUAACAACCCACGUCCUCUUAAAAGCACUACAGGUCUAUUAUACGGUCUGUCCAUUUUUAGCAGCUCAGCUAGAAGAAAAAACUUUACUCACUCCGAUCCAGAUUAAUUGACGCUAGUUUAGUACAAAGUGUACAACUUUGUACUAGACCAGCGUCAAUUAAUAUGGAUCGGAGGGAGUAUGUUUUUGCUGACAGCAACUUCUGCAUGUGUGAGCAGACUGGUGCAGAGGCUGCAUGCCCGUGGAGGAUUUGGUAAACUUUUUGUGCAAAAUUUGUAGCAGGUUUAUUUUCUUUUCCUUUUCCUUUUUGGAACUGGGCAUCACACCUGACUGGAUUAAGCCACAGACCACUGAACCAGCACAUAAUUCAGAUGAUGAAGAAGAAGAACGAAACACAGAAAGAUAGCUUCUGGGGAGAUACCCGCCUUACAGAGCCUCAAGGAAAGUGUUGUUCAUUCCCUUGCAUUUUCUCAUUCGUCUCGAGUCUUUUUCUGUGAACAGUCAUUUGCUCACUCUUGUCCUCUCCAGGUGUAGCCUGCAUCACGAAGCGCCGUUUCGCAGGGAAACAAACUAUCUCUGGAGGAGAGCAGCCAAACAAAAAGCAAAAGCAUCAGUGAGGUGAGCCAUGAUAAGCUUAUAGUGUUAAAAAAGCAGCUUGUUCCUCCUACAAAAGCCAGAUGUUUUUUUUUCGUGCCAUCUACUUUUAGAACAGCUACGGCCGAGUCAUAGAUGGAAAUAAACAGCGAACUUCCGUUCAUGAACACAUCUCAAGAAAAGUACAUGGGUCUCCUAAAAAAAUCACAGGGUCGGGGAAUGAUAAAGCUUUUCUGGCACUACCUCCUUGUCGCAGAAAAGAGCACUGGUGCCGGGCAAUGGGACGAUUGCGGGGAGCAGGGAGAAUUCACCGGAAAUGGCCUGACAGUGGCCAGGGUUGAGCUAGAAUUGUUUUGGCCAAGUGCAUAAUAUAAACAUGCACAUAACCCAUGCAGGCUUGCAUGCAAUUUUUUUGUUUGUGCUGGUGCAUUUUUCUUAGCCUAACAUGGUGCAUUUGCUAAGUUUAGGUCCUAAUCAGUACUAAUAAAAAUUCUUGGCCUGGGUGCCUGUGCACCGGGGCCCACUCUGAUUGGCCCCCGAUGGUGGCGGUGCCCAUGGCUACUCUCAUAAAAAGGAGUGCACAGUCUAUUAAGAAGAAAUGCCUUCUGAAAAGCAUAUCUAUUGCCAGUCAAGACCGUCCAUCGUUCGAAACCAGAAAGAUUUAAAACCUCAUGUUUUUUCUCUAUGGGUGGCAGCAGCUGCUCGAUAUCUGAGCAGAGACUGUGUGCCUUAGGAGGAUUCAAGCAUUCGAUGCUUAGCAAAC
rnacentral:lncRNA from 1 species